UCCCUCCCUCCCUCCCUCCCUUCCUUCCUUCCUCCCUCCCUCCCUUCCUUCCUUCCUUUCUCUCUUUUUCUCUCUUUCUGUUUGUGAUGGAGUCUGGCUCUGUCACACAGGCUGGAUUGCAGUGUUGCAAUCUCCACUCACUGCAACCUCUGCCUCCUAGGUUCAAGUGAUUCUCCUGCCUCAGCCUCCCAAGUAGCUGGGAUUACAGGCAUGCACCACCCUGCCCAGAUAUGGGUUUGUUUUUUUUUUUUUUUUUUUUUUGCAUUUUUAGUGGAGAUGGAGUUUCACCAUGUUGGACAGGCUGGUCUCAAACUCCUGACUUCAGGUGAACCAUCUGCCUUGGCCUCUCCAAAUGCUGGGUUUACAGACACAAGCCACUGCACCCAGCUAGUGUUGUUAACUUUCAUAGGGAAGGCAUACUUUGGAGACAGUACGUUGAGGUUAUGUCAGUGUCCUGCAUCUUAUCAGAAUUCUGCAGAGAGAUUUUAGCCACCUUGAAGGAUUCUUGUCUGCAACACUGAUUUCUUGCUUCAAGUGAUUCUCUAUUUCCCUCAUUCUUUCUACAUUAAUCAAUUGAAAAUCUUCCGUAAGGAUCACUGGUCCCCUCUUCUACACUUGUUUAUUCAUUCAGUUAUUUAUUUAUAUCUGCAUAGACUUGCCAAUACUUACUUUAUUGUAUGGCUAAUAAUUUCAUACUAUCGAUAUGCACUUUCUAGCCAAGAUGCUUUCAGGUCUGGCCAAUGGGAGCUCCUUAAGACUGGCUCCUGUGUCCUUCCAGAGAGCUCCAUCCUUUAGUGAGCACCUCUUUGCUCCUGUGUAACAAGAUGUUUUGCAUUCAUCUUGUAUUUUUCCCCUCAGCUUUGAAAUCAAGUUCUUCUUCAAUGAGACCUGGCUCUUUUGAUUAGAGGGUGGUUGGAAAGUGAGCACUGGACAGGAUUCUGCUGUUGCUUCUAGCUCCCCCCAGUGGACAGAACUAGAAAAUAUACCUAAGUCUAUCAACCCCUUAGAGGGACACACAUCCAUUAAUACACUUAGGACUAAAUGGACAUAAUUUUUUAAAUACACGAGUUUACACAAAUGCCUUCAAUUACCAUCCAGUGCCACAGACUAUAGCCUAAUAUCCCAUUUUUUCAUUUCAUUUUCCAACAGUGAGAAACCUGGCCCUCAGGCUUUACCAUGGAUGGUUCAGGGUUUCUUGUUUUUGUUUUUUUGUUUUUCUCAUUCGAUAGUUCAGUUUUUUUAUUCCUACAGAGGAGCUUCAGAACCGUGAAUCCACGUGAACCUCUGGGAGACAUUUGCUAGCUAGACGGUUUUUCCCACUAGUCUUCUCUCAUUUAGCAAUAUGCUAUCCUUCAAAAUACUCUUGUGCAAAGUUUUAGACAGACCACCUCCUUCCCUGCCCCUAUCACUGUAGCUGUGUUAUUCUUUCACGAGAGAUAGAGAUUCAGUUGUUGUUGUUUGGGGUUUUCCCCAAAUCCUGGCUGAUUCACCCAAGUAGGACCCAGGCUGCAUGCCCAUCUCCAGCCCAUGGCAGCUCUCCUGUAAGCUGGACAGGCUUCUGAGGGCAAGAAAAUAGGUGGCUGAGAAUACCCAGGGCCCCGCACAGGUGGUGGAAAGCCUGGACUCAGCAGCAACACCAAACCCCAGACCCAGCAGAAACCACCCAAGACCAGGCGAUCGUACCAGAGCAGUGGCCGCAGUCCCCGCCCCACUGGCUCAGGGGUUCCACCUAGCGGCGCUGAUGAUGAAAUCAACAAGCACGGGAGUCGUGUCAGAGAAUUUUAAUGAAAGCGUCGGCAGUUCUUUCCCCCAUGGUGCUGUGCAGGUGGCCGAGCUCAUAUUGCCGCUGAUAAGACACCAGCCACUUACAGAGAGAAAGCGAGGCUGCUUCAAACCCAGGGCCUGAUGCAAAAAAGCAUCACUUCUGGUCAGGGAGUCUGGCAGCCAUGCCUUGUGGGAGGUCACACUGGCACCCAGGCCUCUGUCUGCGUUGCAGGGGGAGAGCUGGGUCCCGUCCUGGAGAACGCUGCAUUUCCCAGCCCCGAACCAGCUUUGCCUCUGCACAGGAUUUUGAGCCAGGACGCAGGUAAGUGACACACCUCAAGUCCUAAAGCCAUCAUCACUCCUGGAACCCAGUGGGGGAGGAUCCUUUUUAGAACAUGGAAAGUGUGGUCAUCCCAUCAUUAGACAAGCACAUAUCGUACAUAAAUAAAAGUCGCAUGGGGACGCAGGUAGGGGGGAAACGAAAAAUGGCACAGACAUCGAUAGAUUGCUUUCCAGUUUCAAGGCGGCAGAUAGAUGCACAUCAUGAGACCAGAGGAGACAGAGACCAGCACUGGAUUUGGCUUUUCUAAGCCACAUGUGUUCCCUUGCAGGGCUGGAGGGUCGAGGAGACAGACAGAGAUGGAAGCCAGGACAGGGGAGCCCACUGGGCCCAGAAAGACUCACCAGGUCCACCAGCAGAGAAGUGUGAGGCACACAACCCCGCUGUCAGGCUCCCCGAGGUGCUGCGGGCUCAGCAGGAGCUGCCCAUCUACACACAGGGGACACCCACUCCUCCGACGUUGGGAGAGGUUGCCGAACAGAGCUGCGCUGGGUGCUGGCAUCAUCCUGGGACCCCACACACUUUCCUGAGUGCGAUCCCACUUUCCUCCUCUGGGCAGAUGCAUCCUCUUCUCCUGCAGGAUUUUCUGGAAACUCAGCUCUCAGCUUCGGGUCCCUUCUCCCCUUUCCCUGACCCAAACCUCUUUCUUAAAAAGUGGUGCAGUUGUUUAUGGGUUUAUUUCUUGCAAAUAGGUGGCAGCCUCCACGCUUCUGUUUUCUUUUAGCAAGAUGGUCAGGUGGGGUUGCAAAGAAUGCCUGGACUCCCAUGCACGUGCUGACAGAGGGGGCAGCAGGUAGUCCUGAGCCUCCACCUGCUCUGGGAAGGAGCCCCCGGUCCCUAGGCCUGGUUCCUGCAUAACUCUCCACGUAUCCUGUUCUCCAGAGUCUUAAGAACCCACUCCUGAGGGCAGCAGAGCCAGGCACUUAGAGGAAGACAAAAUGCAGCCAGGGCACGGAUUGUCCACGGAAUACAUUCUAGCAUCUUACCAGGUAUUGGAAUCUGUUAGGAAAAAAUCAGAAACUAUGUGUAAAACUUAAAAAUAUUCAAGUAUCAAAAGACAUUUCAGAUCAAAGUUUUAAAACAAGUCGGCCAGGCGCGGUGGCUCAUGCCUGUAAUCCCAGCACUUUGGGAGGCCGAGGCAGGUGGAUCACGAGGUCAAGAGAUCGAGACAAUUCUGGUCAAUAUAGUGAAACCCCGUCUCUACUAAAAAUACAAAAAAUUAGCUGGGCAUGGUGGCAUGUACCUGUAAUCCCAGCUACUCAGGAAGCUGAGGCAGGAGAAUUGCCCGAACCCAGGAGGUGGAGGUUGCAGUGAGCCGAGAUUGCACCAUUGCACUCCAGCUUGGGUAACAAGAGCGAAACUCUGUCUCAAAAAAAAAAAAAAAAAAAAGAAGAGAUAAUCAUGUGGUUUUUGUCUUUGGUUCUGUUUAUGUGGUGAAUUACAUUUAUAGACUUGCCUAUGUUCAACCAGCCUUGCAUCCCCAGGAUGAAGCCUACUUGAUCAUGGUGGAUAAGCUUUUUGAUGUGCUGUUCCAAUUGGUUUGCCAGUAUUUUAUUGAUUUUUGCAUCUGUGUUCAUCAUGGAUAUUGGCCUGAAGUUCUCUUUUCUUGCUGAGUCUCUGCCGGGUUUUGGUAUCAGGAUGAUGUUGGUUUCAUAAAAUGAUUUGGGAAGGAUUCCCUCUUUUUGGAUUGUUUGGAAUAGUUUCAGAAGGAAUGGUACCAGCUCCUCUUUGUAUGUCUAGUAGAAUUCGGCUGAUCAUUAAAAAAUCUGGAGACAACAGAUGCUGGAGAGGAUGUGGAGAAAUAGGAACACUUUUACACUGCUGGUGGGAGUGUAAAUUAGUUCAACCAUUGUGGAAGACAGUGUGGCGAUUCCUCAAGGACCUAGAAAUAGAAAUUCCAUUUGACCCACCAAUCCCAUUACUGGGUAUAUAUCCAAAGGAUUAUAAAUCAUUCUACUAUAAAGACACAUGCACACGAAUGUUCACUGUAGUACUGUUUACAAUAGCAAACACCUGAACCAACCCAAAUGCCUAUUGAUGAUAGACUAGACAGGGAAAAUGUGGCACAUAUACACCAUGGAAUACUAUGCAGCCAUCAAAAUGGUGAGUUUGUGUCCUUUGUAGGGACAUGGAUGAACCUAGAAAGCAUCAUUUUCAGCAAACUGACACAGGAACAGUGUCAAACACCACAUGUUCUUACUCACAGGUGGGUGUUAAACAAUGAGAACACAUGGACACAGGAAGGGAAGCAUCACACACUGGGGUCUGUCAGGGGGAAAUAGGGGAAGGACAGCAGAGGGGGAGUUGGGGAGAGAUAGCAUGGGGAGAAAUGCCAGAUAUAGGUGAUGGGGAGGAAGGCAGCAAAUCACACUGCCAUGUGUGUACCUAUGCAACAAUCUUUCAUGUUCUUCACAUGUACCCCAAAACCUAAAAUGCAAUUUAAAAAUGGCUUGAGGAAAAAAAAAAAAGAAGUGGGCUGUCAUGACAGAAACUUAUAAAUAAAGCCCUAACCUCCCGGGACAGAGCACCUGGGGAAAAAAAGGCGGUUAUGAGUUCUGCUGCAGCAGACUUAAAUGUACCUGCCCAGCAGCUCUGAAUGGAACAAUGGCGCUCACAGCUCAGCACUUGAGCUCCUAUAAAGGACAGACUGUCUCCUCAAGCAGCUCCCCGGCCCCCGUAUAUCCAAAGAGUCACCUCAUAAAGGAGAGCUCAGAUUGACAUCCGGCACGUAUCCUUCUGGGACAAAGACAGCAGAAGAGGAAACUGGCAGCAACCCUUACUGUUCUGCAGCUGCUGCAGGUGAUCCCCAGGCAAGCAGGGUCUGGAGUGGACCUCUAGCAGUCCUACAGCAGAGGGGCCUGACUGUUAGAAGGAAAACUAAGAAACAGAAAGAAAUAACCUAGUUAUCAACAAACAGGACGUCCACUCAGACACCCCAUCUGAAAGUCACAAACUACAAAGACCACAGGUAAAUAAAUCCACAAAGAUGGGAAGAAACCAGUGCAAGAAGGAUGAAAACACCCAAAACCAGAAUGUCUCUCCUCCGAGGGAUCACAGCUCCUCACCAGCAAGGGAACAAGGCUGGAUGGAGAAUUAAUCUGGUAAAUUCACAGAAACAGGCUUCAGAAGGUGGGUAAUAAGAAACUUCUCUGAAUUAAAAGAACAUGUUCUAACCCAAUGCAAAGAAACUAAGAACCUUGAAAAAAGAUUUGACAAAAUGCUAAUGAGAAUAAACAACUUAGAGAGGAACAUAAAUGAAUUGAUGGAGCUGAAAAACACAAUACGAGAACUUUGCCAAGCAUACACAAGUUUCAAUAGCCGAAUUGACCAAGCAGAAGAAAGGAUAUCAGAGGUCGAAGAUCAACUCAAUGAAAUAAAACGAGAAGGCAAGGUUAGAGAAAAAAGAGUAAACCUAACAUUAAUUAUAAUUAAUAAUUAUAUAUUUGCAAUCAGCUGUUAUUCGAAUACUUUAUGUCAAAUUGUUAUAUGUUAAAAUGAUGACUCUUCUUUCUAUAAAUGUAUGUAUCUUAGCACAGUGCAGAAUCUCAGUCAGUUUAUGUUCAGCAUUCUGUACUCUCAUGUGUGUCUUUUAUCCUUAAAAAAGUGAGUCCUCCAUUUGGCCUCAGACCUGAGGGCCUGAGAGUUGGGACCACCUCACUCUCAGAUUUCUAUUUUCCACAAGUUAAAUUCUUCCUGCCGUCUCCAACCCAGUCCAAUAUAUCAUCAGCUGCUAUCAAUAUCAUUUUAUUUUCAAUCCAAUUUGCUUUCUAAGAUUUGAUUGCUCUUGUCUAAGCCUUUCAACUCUAUUUAAAAAUUUUGUCUACUCUUCAGAGAAAAACAAUCAACAAAGAAUCCUCUGAACAGGAAAGUUAUCAAUAAGAAAUAAAUGUAAAAUAAACCCAUUCCAGAUAAACAAACACUGAGUUGAUUUCAACUAAGUUGAAAUCAAAUGACCAAAGAUGAUAAUUUGAAUCUACAUAAAAUAACAAAAGCACCAGUAAAGAUAAUCAUGUCAUGAUAAAAGACAUUAUGCAUACAUAUUCCUUUUUGUUUCUUAUCUUAUUUUCAAAUAUGAAUGUAUAACAAUAAAGAUAGAAUUGCAUUGCUGGAACUAUUACAAAUACAAAUGUAAUAUAUUUACCAAUAACUAAACAAAGGAAUAAGUGAUAAAGUUGUUGUGAAAUAAAGACAUAUUCUCUGAUAUAUUGAAAUAUUCUCUGACAUAUUUCAAAUAACUUGAAUAUCCUGGAAUAAAUGAGGAAAUCCAGAAAUGAAAAAUAAGAAAGUCCAUAUGACAGAAUUUGUAGAUAUAUAAUUGCUUUUCUUUCUUUUCUCAGCUUCAAGAGAAAUAAAAUUAUAUAAAAUAAAAAUUAUAAACUAUAUUAUUAAGUUUAUAACAUGUAGAUAUAAGUAUAAAAUUAGCUUAUAACAUGUAGCUGUAAGUAUAAAAUUAAUAUUACAAAAUGAAUAAGAAAUAGAAAUAUAUAUUCUAGCAUUCAUAUAACUCAUUAAUAUUAACAGUAUAAAUGCAAAGCAGAUUCUAAUGAGUUAAGAUGUGUAUGAGAAGCCCCGAAAGAAAAAAUAGCUCCAAAUAUAUAUUUAAAAAUCAUAGAAUAAAUUGCAAUGUUACAUAAAAAAUAUUCUCUUAAUGCAAAAAGACAGGAUAGAAAAAAGUAAUAAAGUAUGCAGAUGAUAUAUAGAAGACCAAAAUAGUACAACAAGUAUAAAUUCAGCUAUAUAAUUAUUGACACUAAAUAGAAAAAGAUUAAAUAAUUAAAUUUAAAAAGCUGAGAUUGUCAGACAUUAUAAAAGUAAGAUACAAAUACAUACAGUCUAUAGCACAAUCACUUUGGAUCCAAAGAAACAAAUUGGGUAAAAGCAAAGGAAUAAAAACAUCCAAGCAACAGAUAUAAUAAAGUUGUAGUUACAAUUACAAAAUUUUUUUUAAAAAGCCAAAAGAACCCACACACUUAGAUGUGUAAGGUGAGACAUUCCAUAUUGAUAAAAGAGUCAAUUCUGCAGGAAGAUUUAACAAUAGUCAGCGAAUAUAGAAGUUAAAAAGCAAUAAAAUAUGAGAAACAAAAACUGAUAAAAAUAAAACAAGAACUAGAUAAUCCCACAAUAACAGUUGGAAAUUUAAAUGCCCCAUUUUCAAUAAUGGAUUAAAAAACAGCCAGCAUAUCAAUGAGAAAAUAGACUUGAAGAAAAUGAAUCAACUGAGACAUAACAGUUGAUUCCACCUAACAAGAGCAGACUAUGCAAUCUCUAAGUGCUCAUGGAAUGCUCUCCAUGAUAAACUAUGCUCUAGGCUAUAAAAGAAACAAUAAAAUUAAAAUAAUUGAAGAAAUGCAAAGUAUUUUCUUUCAUCAUAAUGGAAUAAAAUUAAAACUUAAUGACAGCAAGAAAUACAGGAAAUUCACAGAUAUGUAAACAUUAAGCAAUGAAGUUAUAAAUAGCCAUGUCAAAGAAGAAAUUUAAAAUUGGGAAAUAAUUUGAGUUGAAUAAAAAUGAUUACUCAACAUAAGAAAACAUUUAAGAUGCAGCAAAACUAGUAUCCAAAGGGCUGUUUAUAGCAGUCAAUUUCUACAUAUAAAGGAUUUCAAUACAACAACCUAGGCAAAGGAUUUUUUGAGGGCAGGGGGCAAAAAAAGUCUUACUGAAAUGCCUGACAGGAAAGAAUAGAGAGUGCAAUGAUUUGGGGAUAAGAUCUUUGAAAAGUGUUUGCAUAGUUAAGAGAACGUAGAAGGCAAUGUUUAGGGUCAGGUGCAGGCUCAGAAAAGACCUAGAAAGGCCCUAAUUUCUGAUAUCUGUUUGACCCUCAAGCUCUGGACAGACAAAGGGGAACAGAGCACAGCUUCAAAAAUUUGGCAUUUUUUUUUUUUUGCAUUGGUAAGUCCAGCUACGCAUUUAGUCUAUAAAUGGCACAUUAUUGCAAAUGUUAAUGGGUACACUGUGAUGUUCUAGAAUGUACAUAUAUUGUAUAAUGAUAAAAUUAGGGUUAUUAGCAUGUUGGUCACCUCAACCCUUUAUCAUUUCUUUAUGGUGAUAACUUUCAACAUACUCUUUUCUAGCUAUUAUAAAAUAUAUGCUACAUUGUUAUUUUUAUUUAUUUAUUUUUUUGAGACGGAGUUUUGCUCUUGUUACCCAGGCUGGAGUGCAAUGGCGCGAUCUCGGCUCACCGCAACCUCCGCCUCCUGGGUUCAGGCAAUUCUCCUGCCUCAGCCUCCUGAGUAGCUGGGAUUACAGGCACGCACCACCAUGCCCAGCUAAUUUUUUGUAUUUUUAGUAGAGAUGGGGUUUCACCAUGUUGACCAGGAUGGUCUCGCCUCAGGAUCCACCCGCCUCGGCCUCCCAAAGUGCUGGGAUUACAAGCUUGCUACAUUGUUAUUACCUAUAGUCACCCUACUAUGUAAUAGAACACCGUAAUUUAUUUUUUAUAUCUAAGUGUAAUGUUGCACCCACUGACUGAUGUCUCUCAAUCUUUACCUUCCCAGAACCCCGGUAACCACCAUUCUACUCUUAACUUCUAUAAGAUUUACUUUCCGGUAUUCCACGUUAGUGAUAUCAAGCGGUAUUUGUCUUUCGAUGUGUGGUUUCUUUCAUUUAAAAUUAUAUCUCCUAGGUUCACUCAUAUUGCCACAAAUGACAGAAUCUCACUUCUUUCUAUAGCCAAAUAGUAUUUCAUUUUGUACAUAUACCACAUUUUCUGUAUUCACUGAUGGGCACGUAUUGAUUUAAUUUCUUGGCUAUUGUGAAUAGUGCUGCAAUAAACAUAAGGCAAAUAUCCUUUUCACAUGUUAAUUUCAAUUACUUUGGGUGUAUAUCUAAAGUCCUAUCAUGAACCAUAUAGUAUCUCUAUUUUUAAUUUUUUGAGAAAUCUCCAUACUGUUUUUUAUGAUGGUGGUACUAAAGCUACAUUCCCACAAAGUGUAAAAAGGUUUUUGUUUCUUUGCAUCUUCACAAACGUGUUAUUUUUUGUCUUUUUAAUAAUAGCCAUUGUUACUAGGGUGGAGCGAUAACUCAUUGUGGUUUUUAUUAGCACUUCUCUUACAGUUAGUGAUGUUGAACAUUUUGUUAUAAACUUGCCAGCCAUUCCUAAGCCUUACUUUGAGAAAUGUCUAUUAAAGUCUUUUGCCAUUUUUAAACUGGAUUGUUUUGUUUUCUUUUGUUUGUUUGUUUUGCUAUUGAGUUGUCUGAGUCCUUUAUAUACUCAGGAUAUUUGUAUAGUUUGCAAACAUUUUCUCCCAUUCCGUAGGUUGUCGCUCCACUCUUUCAAUUGUAUUGUUCGUCGUUCAGCUUUUUGUUAGACGCCUCAGCUGCUUAUGUAUAAGGUGGAGCUUUGCAGUUUGAUACAAUCUGUUUGCCUAUGUUUGCUUGUGUUGCCUAUGCUUUUGAGGUUCUCUACAAAAAUUCCAUCUCAAGAGCAAUAUGAUAGAGCAUUUCACAUGUUUUCUUCUAGUAAGUUUUAAAUUUUGGGUCCUACGUUUAAGUAUUCAAUCUAUUUGAGUUGAUUUUUGAAUAUGUAAGAAAUAAGAACCGAAUUUUAUUAUUCUGCUUGUGGCUAUACAGUUUUCCCAGCAUCAUUUAUUGAAGAGACUGUCUUUUCCCCGAUGUGUGUUCUUGGCACUUCUGUCAAAAAUCACUUGGCUUUUUAGCCUAGAUUUAUUUCUGGUUUCCCUAGUCUUAUAAUACAAAGAAUUACAAGAGACUAUUAAGAAUAACUUAAUAGUUCCAUCGGUCUAAGUACCUGGAUUUUUUUUUUUUUUGGUAGCUUGUUUCUGCUUUUUUUGUCAGUACCAUGUUGCUUUGGUUACUAAAAUUUGCAGUACAUUUGAAGUCAGAUGACGUGAUGUCCCCAGCUUUAUUUAUUUUUGCUGAAGGUUACUUUAGCUAUUUUGGUCUUUUGUGAUUUAAUUUAAAUUAUGUACUUUUUUAUUUCUAUGAAGAAUUUCAUUGCCAUUUUGAUAGGAAUUAUGAUAAAUCU